GCCCAGGUGGUGAAAUCGGUAGACACAAGGGAUUUAAAAUCCCUUGGCCUUUAGGCUGUGCGGGUUCAAGUCCCGCCCUGGGCACCA
rnacentral:tRNA from 1 species